rnacentral:rRNA from 1 species
AUUGAACGCUGGCGGAAUGCUUUACACAUGCAAGUCGAACGGUAGAGGGGGCAACCCCUCGAGAGUGGCGAACGGGUGAGUAAUAUAUCGGAACGUGCCCAGUCGUGGGGGAUAACGUAGCGAAAGUUACGCUACUACCGCAUACGAUCUAAGGAUGAAAGCGGGGGAUCGCAAGACCUCGCGCGAUUGGAGCGGCCGAUAUCAGAUUAGGUAGUUGGUGGGGUAACGGCUCACCAAGCCAACGAUCUGUAGCUGGUCUGAGAGGACUACCAGCCACACUGGAACUGAGACACUGGCCAGUCUCCUACGGGAGUCAGCAGUGUGGAAUUUGGGACAAUUGACGCAAUUCUGAGCCAGCCAUUCCGCGUGCAGGAUGUAGGCCCUCGUGUUGUAAACGGCUUUUGUACGGAACGAAAAGGUCUCUCUUAAUACUGGGGACUCAUGACGGUACCGUAAGAAUAAGCACCGGCUAACUACGUGCCAGCCGCCGCGGUAAGAC